CUUAGUUCUUUGUUUAGUGCCAGAUGGCGCAAGACGAGAUGUGGGACGGUGGGGCAGCGAGGAGGUGGACGGAAAAGGGAGCGAGAGGAUAGGAUUAUAACAACAGGUGAGUUGCAAUGUAGGAUUACACUAGACAGACAGAGCGAAUCAGCCCGAGGGACUGGAGCAGCAUGAGACAGCGGCACAAGUGAGGACAAACGCAAAGGAAAUCCGAAGAGGGAAAAGCACAAGAAUUACAUACAAUUUAUAAAAUAGACUUCCAGUUCAUCCAAAGCGGGGGAAAACAAGUUUAGGCGUAAUAAAGUAAGAGAUUAUGUCCCCAGCUCUGACUCGGACCUCGACUCCGAUGGCAGCGAGACCCCUGAGCUCAUUCUCAGACAGAAAUUGGCAGCUGCCCUGAUCCGGUACGUCAGGAGUCAGUGGCAACCUCAGGUGCUUAAGGUAUGCCUUCGCACCCUACGCAUCUUGUCCCGUGAUUGGCAAGCCUUGGGGUCCCUACUCACCGAUACGGCCCUGCUCACGCUGGCCAGGCUGGGGG
rnacentral:lncRNA from 1 species